GUAGGGGGCGAGCGUUGUCCGGAUUUAUUGGGCGUAAAGCGUGCGUAGGCGGCUGCGCAAGUCGGUUGUGAAACCCCGGGGCUCAACCCCGGAACUGCAUCCGAUACUGCGUGGCUAGAGGUAGGUAGGGGAGAUCGGAAUUCCUGGUGUAGCGGUGAAAUGCGCAGAUAUCAGGAGGAACACCGGUGGCGAAGGCGGAUCUCUGGGCCUUACCUGACGCUCAGGCACGAAAGCUAGGGGAGCGAACAGGAUUAGAUACCCUGGUAGUCCUAGCCGUAAACGUUGGGUGCUAGGUGUGGGCGGAUAUCGACCCCGUCCGUGCCGAAGCUAACGCAUUAAGCACCCCGCCUGGGGAGUACGGCCGCAAGGCUA
rnacentral:rRNA from 1 species